GCGAGAGUGGUGGAAUUGGCAGACACGCCAGACUUAGGAUCUGGUCCGAAAGGGUGGGGGUUCAAGUCCCUUCUCUCGCA
rnacentral:tRNA from 1 species